rnacentral:rRNA from 1 species
AUACGGAGGAUCCGAGCGUUAUCCGGAUUUAUUGGGUUUAAAGGGAGCGUAGGUGGAUUGUUAAGUCAGUUGUGAAAGUUUGCGGCUCAACCGUAAAAUUGCAGUUGAAACUGGCAGUCUUGAGUACAGUAGAGGUGGGCGGAAUUCGUGGUGUAGCGGUGAAAUGCUUAGAUAUCACGAAGAACUCCGAUUGCGAAGGCAGCUCACUAGACUGUUACUGACACUGAUGCUCGAAAGUGUGGGUAUCAAACAGGAUUAGAUACCCUGGUAGUUCACACAGUAAACGAUGAAUACUCGCUGUUUGCGAUAUACAGUAAGCGGCCAAGCGAAAGCAUUAAGUAUUCCACCUGGGGAGUACGCCGGCAACGGUGAAACUCAAAUGAAUUGACGGGG